rnacentral:rRNA from 1 species
GCGUUGUCCGGAAUUAUUGGGCGUAAAGAGCUCGUAGGUGGCUUGUCACGUCGGGUGUGAAAUCCCAGGGCUUAACUCUGGGUCUGCAUUCGAUACGGGCUGGCUAGGGUCCUUCAGGGGAGACUGGAAUUCCUGGUGUAGCGGUGAAAUGCGCAGAUAUCAGGAGGAACACCGGUGGCGAAGGCGGGUCUCUGGGAAGGUACCGACGCUGAGGAGCGAAAGCGUG